CGGGAUCUGCCCGGCACGAGCCGCAUGAACAUCCCUGAGGCUAUAAGCAAUCCAAGGGGGCUGCCCCUGUCCGGGACCCUGGUCCCAGGCAAGCGGUCCCCACCUGACGUCGAGGCGUCAGAGGAUUUUCCGAGCAAACGACCCAUGGUGGGCCCGUC
rnacentral:misc_RNA from 1 species